CGCGGUGAAUACGUUCCCGGGCCUUGUACACACCGCCCGUCACACCACCCGAGUUGGGAGUACCCGAAGUCGUUGGUCUAACCGUUAAGGAGGACGGCGCCGAAGGUACGCUCGGUAAGGGGGGUG
rnacentral:rRNA from 1 species